rnacentral:rRNA from 1 species
UGGGGAAUAUUGCGCAAUGGGGGGAACCCUGACGCAGCCAUGCCGCGUGAAUGAAGAAGGCCUUAGGGUUGUAAAGUUCUUUCGGUAUUGAGGAAGGUUGAUGUGUUAAUAGCACAUCAAAUUGACGUUAAAUACAGAAGAAGCACCGGCUAACUCCGUGCCAGCAGCCGCGGUAAUACGGAGGGUGCGAGCGUUAAUCGGAAUAACUGGGCGUAAAGGGCACGCAGGCGGUUAUUUAAGUGAGGUGUGAAAGCCCCGGGCUUAACCUGGGAAUUGCAUUUCAGACUGGGUAACUAGAGUACUUUAGGGAGGGGUAGAAUUCCACGUGUAGCGGUGAAAUGCGUAGAGAUGUGGAGGAAUACCGAAGGCGAAGGUAGCCCCUUGGGAAUGUACUGACGCUCAUGUGCGAAAGCGUGGGGAGCAAACAGGAUUAGAUACCCUGGUAGUCCACGCUGUAAACGCUGUCGAUUUGGGGGUUGGGGUUUAACUCUGGCGCCCGUAGCUAACGUGAUAAAUCGACCGCCUGGGGAGUACGGCCGCAAGGUUA